ACCGUGCAGUGGUAGCACGUGCUCCCGGUAUGAAUUAGACGCGGGUUCGAUUCCCGCCUGAGGUC